rnacentral:rRNA from 1 species
ACGAGAUCGCCGCAGCCGCUGCUCCUCCUCUCCCGGGACGCAGCCGCCACCGCCGAACCAGGGAGACGCCAGCGACCGUCGCUGCCGUCGUGGAUCACCAGGAAGCCACCGCCACCGUCGCGCCUCGGAUAUGUCGCGGAUCACCGGGACGCGGCCGUCGCGGAUCAGGAACACCAGGACACCGCCGGCGGCGGCCCCUCGGAUACCGGCAACCGGCGGCGAUUGAGACCAACGAGGCGGCACCACACCCCUG